AGGAGCGGGGCGGCACACCGCGAUCUGAAUCACCGUUGGCUACGCGCGCUGUCGUUCGUGGUCUGCAGCCCUCCCGGAGCCCCGCCCCCAGGGCUGCGCCAAGCGUCUGGGAUAAGCGGGCGUGUGGGGGGCCUCAUGACCUCCGCGGCUUUCCCAGCCUUCCCGGCGCCCCAGCCCCGAGGACGCCCUCGGAGGUCGCUGCCGCUUGCAGCUGCCCGAGAGCAUGCCUUCGGGGGCCCGUUAGGACUGCAGCUUGAGCUCUAGGGGCCAUAGAUUACCUACCCACCUGGUGGCCUAAGCUGGGAGCAAUAGGGGGAUGCCCACUUCCGGACCCACCCCACAGGCACCCUCUACUGGCUCUGGACUUGUCCAUCCCUCAGUUUUGUCCAGCCUCUGCCACUUUGGCCUUUGGCCUCUCUCCCUACUCCAAUCCUGCUACACUCAAGACAAACCCUGGAUCAGGCGCUCCAGACCCACCCAGCCACUGUGGCCUUUGAGCCCACCUGGAGUCUAAUCUACAAGUCCACGCCCCAGGAUGAAGAGUUUGCCCACCUUGAGCCGUAAUGGAUGCAAACACUGAAGAUCAGUGCAGUUACCUCAUUUAAGGUAAUUAAAAAAAAAAAAAAA